AGAAAAGAAAAGUACAUCAAAAGAGUUUCCAUAGCAGAGUGGUAAUUUCAUUUAAAUAUAUCUCAUAAUUUUUUUGCAAUGUUCAUGGGAUUCUUCUUCUUCUAAUUGAUCAGCAUUAUUUUCUACAUCAAUCAUCUCAAUGCAUUUUGACCAAAAAGAAACCUUAUUACUUAGUCUUUGUUUACAUAGCAUCAACUCCAUUUUAAUCUGAAACUCGAGUUGAAUUUUGACUUUCUUCCAGGGGACUUCUAAAUCUUUUUUCCACCAUCUCGCAAUUACUAUUUUAGCAGCUAAAAAAAGAUGUAUAAGAAUUACUUUUAGCUCAUAUGUCAUAUGUGGCCAAUUCAGAUGCAGCAAAACUACCUCUGGAGAAAUUUUCAACUCAAGUUUUAAAUUAUUGGAUAUAAAAUGCUGUAUUUUCAGCCAGAGAUUCUUUAGUUUAUUGCAAUCCCACCAAAUAUGUCUAAAAUUGCCUCUAAU